GACGAACGCUGGCGGCGUGCUUAACACAUGCAAGUCGAACGGAAAGGCCCUGCUUUUGUGGGGUGCUCGAGUGGCGAACGGGUGAGUAACACGUGAGUAACCUCCCCUUGACUUUGGGAUAACUUCAGGAAACUGGGGCUAAUACCGGAUAGGAGCUACUGCUGCAUGGUGUGGGUUGGAAAGUUUCGGCGGUUGGGGAUGGACUCGCGGCUUAUCAGCUUGUUGGUGGGGUAGUGGCUUACCAAGGCUUUGACGGGUAGCCGGCCUGAGAGGGUGACCGGCCACAUUGGGACUGAGAUACGGACCAGACUCCUACGGGACGCAGCAGUGGGGAAUAUUGCACAAUGGGCGGAAGCCUGAUGCGGCAACGCCGCGUGCGGGAAGACGGCCUUCGGGUUGUAAACCGCUUUCGCCUGUGACGAAGCGUGAGUGACGGUAAUGGGUAAAGAAGCACCGGCUAACUACGUG
rnacentral:rRNA from 1 species